GAUGAACGCUGGCGGCGUGCCUAACACAUGCAAGUCGAACGAACGCACGGUAAGCUCGUUCUCUUACUGGUAGCGGCGGACGGGCGAGUAAGGCGUAGAUCACCUUCUAAUUAGUCUUGGAUAACAACGGGAGACAGCUGACAAUACUACCGCAUACUUCCAACGGGUUGGAUCAGAGGAGCUUCGCGCCUUUGGCGAUUCAUUGAGCCGACGUCGGAUUAGCUAGUUGGCAUGGUAAAGGCUCACCAAGGCAACGAUCCGUAGCUGGCCUGAGAGGAUGAUCAGCCACACUGGAACUGAGACACGGUCCAGACUCCUACGGGAGGCAGCAGUAGGGAAUAUUGCGCAAAGGGCGCAAGCCUGAUGGAGCAACGCCGCGUGAGUGAAGAAGGUCUUCGGAUCGUAAAGCUCUGUUGUUAGGAAAGAACAGAUGUAUGAGUAUCUGUGGACGUCUUGACGGUACCUAAAGAGAAAGCAACGGCUAACUACGUG
rnacentral:rRNA from 1 species